AGGGCACACAAGGGAUGCCUAGGUAGUGAGAGCCGAAGAAGGACGUGGUAAGCUGCGAUAAGCUUGGUGAAGUUGCAAACGAACUGUGAUACCAAGAUUUCCGAAUGGAGCAAUCUGUAAAGAGUCAUGUCUUUACACGAAAGAGGGAACCGGGUGAACUGAAACAUCUAAGUAACCCGAGGAAAAGAAAGUAACAACGAUACCCUAAGUAGCGGCGAGCGAACGGGGUAGAGCCUAAACCAUAUUCAUGUCAAGGAUGUAGCCGUUGUGGAUAUGGGGUAGCGGGAAAGAGAAUGGAAGAACUGCAAGAUAUUCCGCAGAGUCAAGCAAAAGAACAAGAAAGAUCUGGAAAGGUCUACCGAAGAAGGUGAAAGUCCUGUAUUGGUACAUUGCUUGCGCUGUUUCUCUUCUCCCAAGUAAUGUGGAACACGAGGAAUUCUGCAUGAAUCAGCGAGGACCAAAUCUCGUAAGGCUAAAUACUCUUACUAACCGAUAGCGCAUAGUACCGUGAGGGAAAGGUGAAAAGAACCCCGGGAGGGGAGUGAAAUAGAACCUGAAAUUGUGUGCUUACAAGCGGUCAGAGCCACUUCGGUGGUGAUGGCGUGCCUUUUGGAGAAUGAUCCUGCGAGUUACGUUUCAUGGCGAGGUUAAGAAGAACGGAGCCGAAGGGAAACCGAGUCUGAAUAGGGCGCAAUAGUCGUGGAGCGUAGACGCGAAACCUGGUGAUCUAAGCCUGUCCAGGAUGAAGCUGUGGUAAGACACAGUGGAGGUCCUAACCCACCGCCGUUGAAAAGUUGGGGGAUGAGGUAGGUUUAGGGGUGAAAAGCCAAUCGAACUAGGAGAUAGCUCGUUCUCUCCGAAAUGCAUCUAGGUGCAGCCUUGCGUGUUUAAUGAUGGGGGUAGAGCACUGACUGAACUAGGGGGCAUAUUGCUUACUGAAUUCAAUCAAACUCCGAAUACCAUUAUUCAAGAGCGCAGGAGUGAGACCAUGGGAGUUAACUUCCAUCGUCGAAAGGGAAACAACCCAGACCACCAGCUAAGGUCCCAAAUCAUAUCUAAGUGGGAAAGGAGGUGGAGAUUCUUAAACAACUAGGAGGUUGGCUUAGAAGCAGCCAUACCUUGAAAGAGUGCGUAAUAGCUCACUAGUCGAGAGUCUCUGCGCCGACAAUGUAACGGGGCUAAGAUAUGAACCGAAGCUGUGGAUGUCGUAAGACAUGGUAGGAGAGCGUUCUGUAGGCCGUUGAAGGAGAACUGAAAGGAACUCUGGAGGUAUCAGAAGUGAGAAUGCAGGAAUAAGUAGCGAGAAGGGGAGUGAGAAUCUCCCCCGCUGGAAGACCAAGGUUUUCAGGGUAAAGCUUGUCUUCCCUGAGUAAGCCGGGACCUAAGCCCAGGCUAGAAUGCGUAGGCGAAUGGAAAACAGACGAAUAUUUCUGUGCCAGUUCUACUUUGUGAAGGAGGGACGCAGAAGGGUAUGCGCGCGGACGAACGGAAGUGUCCGUAGAAGCAUGUAGAGUGACUUGGUAGGCAAAUCCGCCAGGUUAGACUUGAGGUGUGACAUAGAAUCGUAAGAGGAAUGCGCAAAUCCCACGCUGCCGAGAAAAGCUUCUAACGUUAAAGUAGAGACUGCCCGUACUGGAAACCGACACAGGUGGUCAGGAUGAGAAAUCUAAAGCGGACAGGCUAACUCUCGUUAAGGAACUCUGCAAAAUGGCCCCGUAACUUCGGGAGAAGGGGUGCCUCUUAGCGUUCGUAUUCACGCAAUACAAAGCGCCGAGAGGUCGCAGUGAAGAGGCUCAAGCAACUGUUUAACAAAAACACAGGUCUAUGCGAAGCUGUAAGGCGAUGUAUAUGGGCUGACACCUGCCCAGUGCCGGAAGGUUAAGAGGAGGAGUGAGAGCUCCGAAUUGAAGCCCCGGUGAACGGCGGCCGUAACUAUAACGGUCCUAAGGUAGCGAAAUUCCUUGUCGGGUAAGUUCCGACCUGCACGAAUGGUGUAAUGAUUUGAGCGCUGUCUUGACGGGAGGCCUGGUGAAAUUGUAUUACCGGUGAAGAUACCGGUUACCUACAGUAGGACGGAAAGACCCCAUGGAGCUUUACUGUAGCUUGGUAUUGGGUUUUGGCAUGGCAUGUAUAGGAUAGUUGGGAGACUGGGAAGGUAUGGCGCUAGCUGUACCGGAGUCACUGGUGGAAUACCAACCAUUCCCUGCUGAAAUUCUAAUCUGUGGUUUGUCGCCA
rnacentral:rRNA from 1 species